UACAGAGGGUGCGAGCGUUAAUCGGAAUUACUGGGCGUAAAGCGUGCGUAGACGGUUCUGUAAGUCGGAUGUGAAAUCCCCGGGCUCAACCUGGGAAUUGCAUUCGAGACUGCAAAGCUUGGGUGCGGAAGAGGGAAGCGGAAUUUCCGGUGUAGCGGUGAAAUGCGUAGAUAUCGGAAGGAACACCAGUGGCGAAAGCGGCUUCCUGGUCCAGCACCGACGUUCAGGCACGAAAGCGUGGGGAGCAAACAGG
rnacentral:rRNA from 1 species